UGAAAUCUCCAUGAUGAAGUGCUUUCCUGGUGACACCCAGAGAUCGUUUGCUAUGUGAAUGCUUUUCUUGCUCAAAUUUCAACAAACAUGAUUGUACUAAAUCGCUAACACCUGGAAUUUCAAAGACAACAGUGGAAAGGAAAUGAGACUUGGAAUCAAAAGACUUCAGUUUCAAUCUAAAGUCCCUGAAUGUGUAAACUAUUGUGAUUUUUCUUAGCUACAGUCCUCUCACUUAUAAAAUGUUUACUGUC
rnacentral:lncRNA from 10 species